rnacentral:rRNA from 1 species
UAGGGAAUCUUCCGCAAUGGGCGAAAGCCUGACGGAGCAACGCCGCGUGAGUGAUGAAGGUCUUCGGAUCGUAAAACUCUGUUACUAGGGAAGAACAAAUGUGUAAGUAACUAUGCACGUCUUGACGGUACCUAAUCAGAAAGCCACGGCUAACUACGUGCCAGCAGCCGCGGUAAUACGUAGGUGGCAAGCGUUAUUCGGAAUUAUUGGGCGUAAAGCGCGCGUAGGCGGUUUUUUAAGUCUGAUGUGAAAGCCCACGGCUCAACCGUGGAGGGUCAUUGGAUACUGGAAACCUUGACAGCAGAGGAGGAGAGUGGAAUUCCAUGUGUAGCAGUGAAAUGCGCAGAAAUAUGGAGGAACACCAGUGGCGAAGGCGACUUUCUGGUCUGUAACUGACGCUGAUGUGCGAAAGCGUGGGGAUCAAACAGG